CACGUAGGGGGCAAGCGUUGUCCGGAUUCAUUGGGCGUAAAGAGCUCGUAGGCGGUUCGAUAAGUCGGGUGUGAAACCUCCAGGCUCAACCUGGAGACGCCACCCGAUACUGUCGUGACUAGAGUCCAGUAGGGGAGCGUGGAAUUCCUGGUGUAGCGGUGAAAUGCGCAGAUAUCAAGAGGAACACCUGAGGUGAAGACGGGUUGCUGGGCCGACACUGACGCUGAUGCGCGAAAGCCAGGGGAGCAAACGGG
rnacentral:rRNA from 1 species